GUCGGUUUGAAAGACAGACCUCAUACAAAGCAGUUUAUUAAAGCAGUUCUCAUCCUCAGGCGUUAUCCCAGAUAUCCCUUUCUUUUGAGUACCUCCAUUAAGUGCUAAGUAGUUUCUGUAAAACAGGCCAUGUUCGCCUAAAAAGGCUCAAUUAAAGGUAAUAUCACAUGUCUAAUAAAAUGACUGGUUUAGUAAAAUGGUUUAAUGCGGAUAAAGGUUUUGGCUUCAUUUCCCCUUCUGACGGGAGCAAAGAUGUGUUUGUACACUUCUCUGCGAUUCAGAGUAAUGAAUAUCGCACUUUGGAUGAAGGUCAGAAAGUCGAGUUCACUAUCGAGAAAGGCGCCAAAGGCCCGGCAGCAGCAAACGUUGUACCUGUUACAGCGUAAAAUCUUUCCUGAAUUCCUUCCCUUGCGAUAACGAAAACGGCCU
rnacentral:sRNA from 1 species